rnacentral:lncRNA from 1 species
AGCAAAAGGUUUUUUAUUAAAUCAAGUAAAAACCCUUUACAAUGAAAAUUCAAUCAUGCUUUUUCGAUUGAAUCUUCGCUUUUACAAAAUGAUCUACAAGUAUCAUAUGCAAUGAAGUCUAUUGCACACUGGAGAAGAUUAUUCUCAAUAUAUGCUCUAUGCAUUUUAUUAUAGGAUGUUUGGGAUUGCACGUAAGAUAACAAAGUAUAGAUAUUCACGCCUGGUUUUAGAGAUUUUUUUUUACAAGGUUUAUCCAAAAAUUUCCACUUGGGCGAAUCUUGUCAAUUAUUUUCCUUUCUUCUAAUUGUAUAAAUACUGAAUAGUGGAAAAAAUGAAAAGCGGCAGCCUCCGGGUUUCUAUGAUGUAGAUGAAAGAAAAGAGUAGCCGUGAGAAGUUGAAAGAGAAGAGAGGACAUGGCAAACAUGACCGUCCAAGAUUACAUCCUUUUGUUGACGAUACAUUUACAACUCCCGCAGUGUGUUUGCACAACUCCUGUGCUCUAUAUGUUCGUCGCCAGAAGCAAAUAACACAGUGAAGCUCGAGUUUGAAAUUCAUGGUCCACGACGCAAGCCGUAAAUUGCCUCACGCAUCACGAAGAUCGCAACCCGAUUCGUCACCCACCGAGCGAAGAUUGACUCAGAUCAACUUGUUUGUUCAGGUAUAUCCUCUAAAAAGAAAACAUCUCGAGAUGGGGAAAGGCACUUUGAAUCCCAUUCUGCAUAAGAAGCCGAUUCUUGUAUCAAUGCAAAGUGCGUAUAUGCAUAGUUUGGGGUCCAAGAGCCUCUCAAAGUCUUAAUCAGUUUCUCUUACCGUUUCGAGAAGCAUCUCUAAUUCCUGAAGUUUUCUUAUUGGUUAAGGAGAAAGUGUAUGGGCCUUUUUUUAAAUUUUAACUAAUAUUACCUAAUAAAAUAUAUGAACGGAAAAAAACACAGCUUUUGAGCUGAUUUUCAUAUAUAAACAGCAAUAAUUUCCUUUUAAAAAUAUAUAAAAAUAUGAUAUAAACUUAUAUACUAG